CGAAACCGAUAGCGAACAAGUACCGUGAGGGAAAGUUGAAAAGUACUCUGAAUAGAGAGUUAAAUAGUACGUGAAACCGCUUAGGGGUUAAGCCCGAUGAACCCGAAUAUCUGAUGUGAGAAAUUCAAUACAAUUCAAAUUCAUAUUUUUAUAUUGCAUUUGUAUAGUAUGCACUUUUCUCAUAGUAAGACAUUGUAAUCCAUUGAUAUUAUAUCUCAUUUGAGAUGAUUUAACAUACGGACAAAAUGUUUAUGAUUAUUCUAUCAGUGAUAUGUUUACAUGUCAUAUGAAUAAAAUCGUUUUGUUUCCUGUUUAAAUAGUCGAUGGAUUUUUCAUUGAAAUCAUGCUUGCAAUUUAUUUUGCGUUUCGUAUCAUUAAUUUUUAAUUUUUGGUAGCAGAAAUGGCAUGUAUUCGAUUAACAAUGCGAUAGAUUUGGGAUACUUUCAGGACCCGUCUUGA
rnacentral:rRNA from 1 species